GACGAACGCUGGCGGCGUGCUUAACACAUGCAAGUCGAACGAUGAAGCGGGUGCUUGCACUCGUGGAUUAGUGGCGAACGGGCGAGUAACACGUGAGUAACCUGUCCUUUUCUUUCGGAUAACGGCUGGAAACGGCUGCUAAUACUGGAUAUUCAGGCUGCAUCGCAUGGUGUGGUUUGGAAAGGUUUUUUCUGGGAUUGGGUGGGCUCGCGGCCUAUCAGCUUGUUGGUGGGGUGAUGGCUUACCAAGGCUUUGACGGGUAGCCGGCCUGAGAGGGUGGUCGGUCGCACUGGGACUGAGAUACGGCCCAGACUCCUACGGGAGGCAGCAGUGGGGAAUAUUGCACAAUGGACGAAAGUUUGAUGCAGCGACGCCGCGUGGAGGGUGUAGGCCUUCGGGUUGUGAACUCCUUUUUCUCGCGAAAAAGGCACAGUUUUGGCUGUGUUGAUGGUAGUGGGGGAAGAAGCGCCGGCUAACUACGUG
rnacentral:rRNA from 1 species